rnacentral:sRNA from 1 species
ACGUGACUUCCUCUGAACGGAAAUAGUCUGCAAUUGAACGCAUGGGAUGUAAAAAGAAAGACGAGACGCCAUCUUUACAUCGACGGAGAAUACUCGUGUAGCAUUAGAAGAAAAGGAUGAACAAUUAACAACUUCAUGUGAAAAUUCAAGGUGAUGAUCUACGGCAAGCGCUAUCUCGAUCAGCUCGUGCAACAGCAGACAUGCAGGCAGCGAUAUCGUCGACUUGCUGAUACUUGAUGAAAAUACAGGGAGUAAUUGAUAUUUAAUGAACUUUGAUGUAAUGAUAAGAUGAUUAACUGGACUCUCGCCAUUAUUCCGUAUGUAUGGUGAUGUGUCAGUGUCGUUAACUUCGUUAUUUCAUGGUAUUUCACCGCAUGGUGAUGUACAGUCUCGCACAAAAGUUGAACACCAUAACAAUGUGUAAAUUGUCAACACAUAUAUAUUUUAAGUUAAUAUUAUCAACAAAUAAAAUCAAAACAUGUAACAACUAGAUAAAUAAAUGAUUUGAUU